GAUGAACGCUGGCGGCGUGCCUAAUACAUGCAAGUCGAGCGAACAGACGAGGAGCUUGCUCCUCUGACGUUAGCGGCGGACGGGUGAGUAACACGUGGAUAACCUACCUAUAAGACUGGGAUAACUUCGGGAAACCGGAGCUAAUACCGGAUAACAUGUUGAACCGCAUGGUUCAACAGUGAAAGACGGUCUUGCUGUCACUUAUAGAUGGAUCCGCGCCGCAUUAGCUAGUUGGUAAGGUAACGGCUUACCAAGGCAACGAUGCGUAGCCGACCUGAGAGGGUGAUCGGCCACCCUGGAACUGAGCCACGGUCCAGACUCCUACGGGAGGCAGCAGUAGGGAAUCUUCCGCAAUGGGCGAAAGCCUGACGGAGCAACGCCGCGUGAGUGAAGAAGGUCUUCGGAUCGUAAAACUCUGUUAUUAGGGAAGAACAAAUGUGUAAGUAACUAUGCACGUCUUGACGGUACCUAAUCAGAAAGCCACGGCUAACUACGUG
rnacentral:rRNA from 1 species